UACGUAGGGUGCGAGCGUUUGUCCGGAAUUAUUGGGCGUAAAGGGCUCGUAGGCGGUUUGUCGCGUCGGGAGUGAAACACACAGCUUAACUGUGUGCUUGCUUCCGAUACGGGCAGACUAGAGGUAUGCAGGGGAGAACGGAAUUCCUGGUGUAGCGGUGAAAUGCGCAGAUAUCAGGAGGAACACCGGUGGCGAAGGCGGUUCUCUGGGCAUUACCUGACGCUGAGGAGCGAAAGUGUGGG
rnacentral:rRNA from 1 species